CUUUAGGUUGCUUACCAAUUCCGCUUUGUGAAAUGGUGUAAACGGAAGGCGACCGCGCAGGCUCGAGUUGUAGAUGGAGCCGGCACAUCGUCUGAAGUAGCUGCUGAGGUUGUUUUGAUGAGGCGAGGGAGGGAUGUGUUUGCUUUCAAGAUAAUAAGGGGUUUCUUCAAAUUGGAGCAGAGAAGUGGGCUAUUGUUGCAAAAAUGCCACAACUUACCUCGCAGCCAUUAGAUGUAGAUCUAAUGGUCAGAAAUGACGGAUGGCAGACACACCAUCAUCACCAACUGAGUCUUUUAUAGGAGUAGAGAUAUGCAGGUUUUACAGGGUAUGGGGGUGGAUGAGCUGCUGUAGAUUUUUGCUCACAAUUCUAAGCUACAAAGUCAUGUAUACUAGUGUGUGGAAAGAUCAAAGGAAAAAACACAUGCAAACCAGAUUCUUGUCUAGUUGGUAGCUAUGUUUUCAUAUUACCUACAAUAUACUUUUCUUUUCUUUUCCUUUUUUGCUACAUAGACAUUGGUUCUUCUGAAUUAUGUGUGAAAUAAGACUCUCUAUGUCCUCUCUCC